CGUGUAGGCGGCUUGGUAAGUCUGAUGUGAAAUCCUAGGGCUCAACCCUAGAAAUGCAUUGGAUACUGCCGAGCUAGAGUCCGGGAGGGGAUGUCGGAAUUCCUAGUGUAGCGGUGAAAUGCGCAGAUAUUAGGAAGAACACCAAUGGCGAAGGCAGACAUCUGGAACGGUACUGACGCUGAGUCGCGAAAGCGUGGGGAGCAAACAGGAUUAGAUACCCUGGUAGUC
rnacentral:rRNA from 1 species